rnacentral:rRNA from 1 species
UACGAAGGGGGCGAGCGUUGUUCGGAUUUACUGGGCGUAAAGGGCGCGCAGGCGGUCUUGAAAGUCAGGCGUGAAAGCCCCGGGCUUAACCUGGGAAUUGCGCUUGAUACUCUGAGACUGGAGUACGGGAGAGGAGAGUGGAAUUCCCAGUGUAGAGGUGAAAUUCGUAGAUAUCGGGAGGAACACCGGUGGCGAAGGCGGCGAUCUGGGUCGAUACUGACGCUGAGGUGCGAAAGCGUGGGGAGCGAACAGG